GAUAAACGCUGGCGGCGUGCAUGAGACAUGCAAGUCGAACGAAGGAUCGGGCUUGCUCGAUCCUUAGUGGCGGACGGCUGAGUAACGCGUAGGUGACCUACCCCGAAGUGGGGAAUAACUGCCCGAAAGGGUGGCUAAUACCGCAUGUGGUCGCACGUUCAUUCGUGCGAGUAAAGCCGCAAGGCGCUUCGGGAGGGGCCUGCGUCCGAUUAGCCCGUUGGUGGGGUAAUGGCUUACCAAGGCGACGAUCGGUAGGUGGUCUGAGAGGACGAUCACCCAGACUGGGACUGAGACACGGCCCAGACUCCUACGGGAGGCAGCAGUCGGGAAUUCUGCUCAAUGGGGGAAACCCUGAAGCAGCAACGCCGCGUGAGGGAUGAAGGCCUUCGGGUUGUAAACCUCUUUUGUCAGGGACGAUGAUGACGGUACCUGGCGAAUAAGCCACGGCUAACUACGUG
rnacentral:rRNA from 1 species